rnacentral:rRNA from 1 species
CCAAUAGCGUAUAUUAAAGUUGUUGCAGUUAAAAAGCUCGUAGUUGAAUUUCGGGAUCAAAUUGUUGGUCGUGCCUCGGUACGCACUGGUAUCAUUGAUUUCUCCCUUCUGAAGAACUUUGAUGUCAUAAAUUUGGUGUCAUGGGGAAUCAGGACUGUUACUUUGAAAAAAUUAGAGUGUUUAAAGCAGGCUCACGCUUGAAUACAUUAGCAUGGAAUAAUGAAAUAGGACGUUUGAUUCUAUUUUGUUGGUUUCUAGGAUCGACGUAAUGAUUAAUAGGGUAAGUUGGGGGCAUUAGUAUUCAAUUGUCAGAGAGGAAAUUCUUGGAUUUAUUGAAGACUAACUACUGCGAAAGCAUUUGCCAAGGAUGUUUUCAUUAAUCAAGAACGAAAGUUAGGGGAUCGAAGACGAUCAGAUACCGUCGUAGUCUUAACCAUAAACUAUGCCGACUAGGGAUCGGAUGAUGUUAAUUUUUUAAUGACUCAUUCGGCGCCUUACG